AAUAUUGCACAAUGGGGGAAACCCUGAUGCAGCGACGUCGCGUGAGCGAAGAAGGCCUNCGGGUCNUNACGCUCUGUCCUAAGGGNAGACACGGACGGUACCUUAGGAGGAAGCCCCGGCUAACUACGUGCAAGCAGCCGCGGUAAUACGUAGGGGGCGAGCGUUAUCCGGAAUUACUGGGCGUAAAGGGUGCGUAGGCGGCCUUUUAAGUCAGAUGUGAAAGGCUACGGCUUAACCGUAGUUAGCAGUUGAAACUAAAAGGCUGGAGUGCAGGAGAGGAGAGUAGAAUUCCUAGUGUAGCGGUGAAAUGCGUAGAUAUUAGGAGGAACACCAGUGGCGAAGGCGACUCUCUGGACUGCAACUGACGCUGAGGCACGAAAGCGUGGGUAGCGAACAGG
rnacentral:rRNA from 1 species